AGCGGGCAGCUGGACGUGCAGAGCGCGGACACGGCCGCCCACGAACAUCCGGAUAACUUCAACACUCGCAGACCUGACGAGACACAGCAGCGCCACGUCAGCACAUCGAGGCGGAGCAAAAGCGAGAGGAGAGCAACGCUGAGGUCCAAGGAGAGCGGCUGUCGCCGGAUGAUCCCGCUCAGCAUGAGCGGCGUGAUGGAAGUGCAGCGGUUCAGAUCGAUCUUGGUCCAAAGUCUUUUAUCGCAGCACCUGGACGUCAGGAAAAUAGGCGAGUUGGUUAGCGGUCAGAGGCGUGACGAUUCAUCUGCGAUGUCGACGAGUCGAGUUACAGUCCAGGUCUUGGACACCCUCAUGCAGCAGCAGAGCUCCUGAUGUGUGAGGUGGUUGAAGAUCUUCAUCCAGACCUCCCGCUGGAGGACAUGCAUUUUCCCGUCUUUCAGGGGGAGCCUGUCCGGGGGCGG